CGGAAUAGGCCAAAGAAGAAGCAGCAAUCAGUUGCUGGACAAGGUACUUAUUUGAUAAUACCUUGUAACUUCUCUCUUAUUGAUAUAAUGACCUGGGUAUUGGAUACCAGAAGCUCUAUUCACAUUUGUAAUUUAUUGCAGAAUCUUCAAGUCAGUAGGAGAUUUGGAGAAGAUGAGAGAUUUCUAAACAUUGAAGAUGGA
rnacentral:lncRNA from 1 species